AGUGAACGCUGGCGGUAGGCCUAACACAUGCAAGUCGAACGGCAGCACAGUAAGAGCUUGCUCUUACGGGUGGCGAGUGGCGGACGGGUGAGGAAUACAUCGGACUCUACUUUUUCGUGGGGGAUAACGUAGGGAAACUUACUCUCAUACCGCAUACGACCUACGGGUGAAAGCAGUGGAUCUUCGGACCUUGCGCGGUUGAAUGAGCCGAUGUCGGAUUAGCUAGUUGGCGGGGUAAAGGCCCACCAAGGCGACGAUCCGUAGCUGGUGUGAGAGGAUGAUAGGCCACAUUGGAAGGGAGACACGGUCCAGAGUCCUACGGGAGGCAGCAGUGGGGAAUAUUGGACAAUGGGCGCAAGCCUGAUCCAGCCAUACCGCGUGGGUGAAGAAGGCCUUCGGGUUGGAAAGCCCUUUUGUUGGGAAAGAAAAGCAGCAGGUUAAUACCCCGCUGGUCUGACGGUACCCAAAGAAUAAGCACCGGCUAACUUCGUG
rnacentral:rRNA from 1 species